rnacentral:rRNA from 1 species
UACGGAGGAUGCGAGCGUUAUCCGGAUUUAUUGGGUUUAAAGGGUGCGUGGGCGGACGCUUAAGUCAGCGGUAAAAUUGCGGGGCUCAACCUCGUCGAGCCGUUGAAACUGGGUGCCUUGAGUGGGCGAGAAGUACGCGGAAUGCGUGGUGUAGCGGUGAAAUGCAUAGAUAUCACGCAGAACUCCGAUUGCGAAGGCAGCGUACCGGCGCCCAACUGACGCUGAAGCACGAAGGCGUGGGUAUCGAACAGG